rnacentral:rRNA from 1 species
AUGCACGCUGGCGGCGUGCCUAAUCCAUGCAAGUCGAGCGAACAGACGAGGAGCUUGCUCCUCUGACGUUAGCGGCGGACGGGUGGGUAACACGUGGAUAACCUACCUAUAAGACUGGGAUAACUUCGGGAAACCGGAGCUAAUACCGGAUAAUAUAUUGAACCGCAUGGUUCAAUAGUGAAAGACGGUUUUGCUGUCACUUAUAGAUGGAUCCGCGCCGCAUUAGCUAGUUGGUAAGGUAACGGCUUACCAAGGCAACGAUGCGUAGCCGACCUGAGAGGGUGAUCGGCCACACUGGAACUGAGACACGGUCCAGACUCCUACGGGAGGCAGCAGUAGGGAAUCUUCCGCAAUGGGCGAAAGCCUGACGGAGCAACGCCGCGUGAGUGAUGAAGGUCUUCGGAUCGUAAAACUCUGUUAUUAGGGAAGAACAAAUGUGUAAGUAACUAUGCACGUCUUGACGGUACCUAAUCAGAAAGCCACGGCUAACUACGUG